AUACGGAGGGCGCAAGCGUUGUUCGGAAUCAUUGGGCGUAAAGCGCGUGUAGGCGGCUUGGCAAGUCGGGUGUGAAAUCCCGGGGCUCAACCCCGGAACUGCACUCGAAACUGCCUAGCUGGAGUCCCGGAGAGGAGAGCGGAAUUCCCGGUGUAGAGGUGAAAUUCGUAGAUAUCGGGAGGAACACCAGCGGCGAAGGCGGCUCUCUGGACGGUGACUGACGCUGAGACGCGAAAGCGUGGGGAGCAAACAGGAUUAGAAACCCCAGUAGUCC
rnacentral:rRNA from 1 species